GUACACUCCUGCGGGAGGCAGCAGUGGGGAAUAUUGCACAAUGGGCGCAAGCCUGAUGCAGCCAUGCCGCGUGUAUGAAGAAGGCCUUCGGGUUGUAAAGUACUUUCAGCGGGGAGGAAGGUGUUGAGGUUAAUAACCUCAGCAAUUGACGUUACCCGCAGAAGAAGCACCGGCUAACUCCGUGCCAGCAGCCGCGGUAAUACGGAGGGUGCAAGCGUUAAUCGGAAUUACUGGGCGUAAAGCGCACGCAGGCGGUCUGUCAAGUCGGAUGUGAAAUCCCCGGGCUCAACCUGGGAACUGCAUUCGAAACUGGCAGGCUAGAGUCUUGUAGAGGGGGGUAGAAUUCCAGGUGUAGCGGUGAAAUGCGUAGAGAUCUGGAGGAAUACCGGUGGCGAAGGCGGCCCCCUGGACAAAGACUGACGCUCAGGUGCGAAAGCGUGGGGAGCAAACAGGAUUAGAUACCCGAGUAGUCC
rnacentral:rRNA from 1 species